UACGGGGGGGGCAAGCGUUGUUCGGAAUUACUGGGCGUAAAGGGCUCGUAGGCGGCCAACUAAGUCGGAUGUGAAAUCCCACGGCUUAACCGUGGAACUGCUCGGCAUACUGGCGGUCUUGAGCAACCUAGGGGCGAGCGGAACAAAUGGUGGAGCGGUGAAAUGCGUAGAUAUCAUUUGGAACGCCAAUGGUGAAAACAGCUCGCUGGGGGUUUGCUGACGCUGAGACACGAAAGCCAGGGGAGCGAACGGG
rnacentral:rRNA from 1 species